rnacentral:misc_RNA from 1 species
GUAGGUGAACCUGCGGAAGGAUCAUUAACACGUAUCCACGUAUCAACCCUUGUGCUCUUUGUUCUUGGAAUUGUGGAAUAUCAAUUGAGGUGAGAGCGAGUAACCUUUUUUCUCUCGGGAGAGAAGGGAACUUGUGAUUGUCUCUGUUGACGUUUCCAAAAAUCUACCCCUUCAUUAUUUUCUUUAAACCCUUUGUACCUUUCUUACUGAAACUUGAUUGUCUUUUGAUUUCGCGAAAGGCUUCGGCUUU